UACGAAGGGGGCUAGCGUUGCUCGGAAUCACUGGGCGUAAAGGGUGCGUAGGCGGGUCUUUAAGUCAGGGGUGAAAUCCUGGAGCUCAACUCCAGAACUGCCUUUGAUACUGAGGAUCUUGAGUUCGGGAGAGGUGAGUGGAACUGCGAGUGUAGAGGUGAAAUUCGUAGAUAUUCGCAAGAACACCAGUGGCGAAGGCGGCUGACUGGUCCGGUUCUGACGCUGAGGCGCGAAAAGCGUGGGGAGCAAACAGG
rnacentral:rRNA from 1 species